CCGUGCUAGACGGGGAGCUAGCGGUGCCCUGUAUCCGCAAUCCGCUACAGCGGAGUUGAAUUCCUACUCGAGGUCGCGCUCCCACAGGGUCUGUUGCCCCACGACAAUGUUGAUGGCCUGGUCCUGCGCGACGAAGCGCC
rnacentral:SRP_RNA from 1 species